AGUGAACGCUGGCGGUAGGCCUAACACAUGCAAGUCGAACGGCAGCACAGGAGAGCUUGCUCUCUGGGUGGCGAGUGGCGGCCGGGUGAGGAAUACAUCGGAAUCUGCCCAGUCGAGGGGGAUAACGUAGGGAAACUUACGCUAAUACCGCAUACGACCUUCGGGUGAAAGAGGGGGAUCGCAAGACCUCUCGCGAUUGGAUGAGCCGAUGUCGGAUUAGCUAGUUGGCGGGGUAAUGGCCCACCAAGGCGACGAUCCGUAGCUGGUCUGAGAGGAUGAUCAGCCACACUAGAACUGAGACACGGUCCAGACUCCUACGGGAGGCCGCAGUAGGGAAUAUUGAACACUGGGCGAAAACCUGAUCCAGCCAUACCGCGUGAGGGGAGAAGGCCUUCGGGUUGUAAAGCCCGUUUGUUGGGAAAGAAAUCUUUCAGGCUAAUACCCUGGGAGGAUGACGGUACCCAAAGAAUAAGCACCGGCUAACUUCGUG
rnacentral:rRNA from 1 species